UACGUAGGGUCCGAGCGUUGUCCGGAAUUACUGGGCGUAAAGCGUGCGCAGGCGGUUGUGCAAGACAGAUGUGAAAUCCCCGGGCUUAACCUGGGAACUGCAUUUGUGACUGCACAGCUGGAGUGCGGCAGAGGGGGAUGGAAUUCCGCGUGUAGCAGUGAAAUGCGUAGAUAUGCGGAGGAACACCGAUGGCGAAGGCAAUCCCCUGGGCCUGCACUGACGCUCAUGCACGAAAGCGUGGGGAGCAAACAGG
rnacentral:rRNA from 1 species